ensembl:lncRNA
UUCCCCUGGGAGGAUGGCUCCAAAGGUCUCAUUUGAAAAUCAGCUUUAGGAGUUUUGAGUUCUCCAUAGGCUUGGUCAUGUGCUCAGUACCCAUGGCUGUGCCUGUUAACGCAAGUUCAUGAGCCCAAAGUACAGUGAGGCCGAACUGAAACCCGAGCAGAGAAAGUUUAUUGCAGAGCCAUCCAAGGAGAUGAGGUGGUUCAUGCUCUUUAGCCUUGAGCUCCCCCAAGGGUUUCAGCAAAGUAUUUUUAAAAGCCAGAUUUGGUUGGGGGUGGGGGGCAGUCAGAGGCUACAGGAUCAGAUCCUGAACAAUGGACUGGUUGACUGAUGAUGAGGAAGCAGGGUGGUGUCACAGGGGUGAACUUUAUCAGCCCUUAGGCUCCAGGAGUCCUGGGGCUAUGUGCUCAUGGUCAUCAGAUGCUGAAGGAACUACAGGACAAGCGCAUUCCAUCAUUUCUGCAACCAGCUAUUUGCUUGGCACUUCCUCAAAUAUAUCUAUCCCUACCGAAAAGGAUGGAGGACGAGUGGUGGGAUGGUGGUAUCCAGUUUCAUAUCCACACAGAAGAGGAAAACCAAACUCAGAAGGGGAGGAGUGAGUAGAUGAAGAAAAGUCAAAAGUGGAGUCCCAUCACUUAGAAGAAAUGAGGAAGACGUAUUCAACAUUCUCCCAACCCCAAUACAACAGUUUUUUCUUUCAAUUUG